GAGUAAAACAAGAAAAUAGAAGUCAAUACAGGAGGUAAUUGAAUCAUUGAACAUACUCUAAAAAGUGUAAUAUAUAAAAAUUACAUAUAGUUCUUCAAUUAUAGGAAAAUCAGGAUUUCACAUACAAUCCUAAGAACCCAUACAAGAAAGAAUAAUGCUUAAGUGAUACAGGAAAUUCCCUGAAACGACUGCCCAAUGGUCAAGAAUAUGACAACAGUAUAACUGUGGCCAAAACAAAUAAUGGAAAAAUGUGAAAUAAAUUAAUCCUUAAUUCUCA